GUUCGCAAUGCUCGGAAGGCAGUGGAGUGAGUCUGAGAACGUCCAAGAACGGACAACACUGGUCCCUGUGCCCACCCGGAAGCUGGAGCCACUGGAAUGGACGGCACCACCUGACACAGAGACGCAUCUGAAGUGGGUGGGGCCCUCACGUGUCGCUGGAGAAGGCUAUGAGAAUGAGAAAUAGAGUCCUUUGAAGUCAACAGUAAAGAGAAGCAUCAAUUGGAGCCCACACCGCACUCUUCUUAUACAAAAAGCCCCCAGUUGUAUAUUACUCUGCAUCUGGCUGUUUUCCUGGAACCAUGUUUCCUACAGGCUGGCCCGGAUUCCUCCCUCCCAGCAACGGAGCAGAUUGCUGGACCCCACGGAGCGUUGGGAAAAUCUUUGGGAGAUUUCCAGUCACAAGCCGAUGCGGGAGAUGAAGCCGCCAGAACCGCUGAUCACUGGCAGGCUGGCCCUGAACUGCGCGCCCCGCCCUCCGCUGGCCGCUUGGCACACACGGCCGGUCCUCCAGCUGGUGAGUCACUGGACACUUAUUCAUCACACAGCAGGCAGCGGAAGGUGCCAGAAGGGUGUGCCGGGCAAGGAGCUGGGCCGGUCCUGCAGCCCUGGGUGCUGGUGAGUCACUGCUGCCAGGCGCUGAGCCGGGUGCCGAGGGAGGCAAGGCCCUGGCCAAGAAAGGCCAAGGCUGGCAUCUGUUUCUGCUCCACCCUCGCUGGGGGGGCCGGCAGGCGGGGGAGCAGGACCUCUCCUCUGUGUGCCCUCCAUCCUGCUGUCCCUGCCAGUGCAUACACAUGCACGUGAGCACAGUGUAACAGCACACACGUGCGCACAUGCACACACAUACACACACACACACACACACACAUGUACACGCACUAGCUAAUUCCAAGCACGUGAUCAGACGCAGAGCGGCUGCAGGUUAGGACACAGGCCUUGGAGGCUCACCUCCCUGCUCCUUCGAGGUGAACGGAGCUGCAAGUCCCCCCCCACUGCUUCCGGGGAGACCUCCUCCCACCUGCCCCGGCCCUCCAGGCAGCCCGGCCCGGCCCCAGCCCUGUGCCAGCACCGGAGGGCGGGGCCCAGUUCAGGUAGGAAGUCAUCAGCCCUGGGCUCCAACCCUGCCUCCACUGCACACACCCGACCCGGGGCCUCAGUUUCCUCUCCUGGCACGGGGCCAUCUGAUGCUGGUAGAAGUUCCCCAUUCUCAGGGAGCACUGCCGGGGCUGGUGGGAGCACCAGGCAUCACGCCAGCGAUUUCAGGGGUUCUGGCCCGAAGGACCCUCUGGGCCUCUCAAGCCUCCCGAUCCUGCCUGUGGAAACCUGGGUCCCCGCAGAUGGUCCGCAGCCCUCUGCUCCGACUCAAAGGUACCGCCUUAGCAGCUCCUCGCGUCAAGGACAUCAAUGGCUCACACAGGCCUCCUGAAAAGCAUGUCCUUUGCCAGCAACCCCAGGACAGACCCCUCGGCUGUCCCCAAGGCAACAGACUGCAAAAGGUCCUGUCUCCCACAAGGCUGUCCGUCUGCUCUUGUCCUGCGAGGGCUGGUCUGAAAGCUGCCCCAGGCAGGGGUCCUCAAAGUUCAGUUCUGCAAAUGUUUAACGCGCGCCCAGCUCUGUGCCGAGGGUCCAAAGAUGACACCCCUGCCCCCAAGGGGCCCCCAGUCCAGCAAAGGAGACGGAGACAGACAGUUCCAGACGGUGCUCGCGAGUCCCAAUUCCCAGAUACAAAACCAGCAGCUAAUUUCACCCACAAAAAUGCAAUAAAAUAGCAAAAAAACGUAGGCAGCCUCUGGAGCCAUUAAUGAUUCUAUCAAUACAGACUUAAAGUAACCGGAAAGGCGGUUUUCUGGGUACCGAACGUCUGUUCCUACCUUCCCCUGCUCUGGCUCUCCGCCCUGGGUGGGCUUCUGCGGGGCCAUUUUUCACAAAGGAAGCCAAAAGGCACACACACGAGUGUGACACCCAG
ensembl:lncRNA